rnacentral:rRNA from 1 species
AUUGAACGCUGGCGGCAGGCCUAACACAUGCAAGUCGAGCGAGCGGCGGACGGGUGAGUAAUGUAUGGGGACUGCCCGAUAGAGGGGGAUAACUACUGGAAACGGUAGCUAAUACCGCAUACUAUCGGAUAACCCAUAUGGGAUUAGCUAGUAGGUGAGGUAAUGGCUCACCUAGGCGACGAUCCCUAGCUGGUCUGAGAGGAUGAUCAGCCGCACUGGGACGGGGACACGGCCCAGACUCCUUCGGAGGCAGCAGUGGGGAAUAUGGCACAAUGGGCGCAAGCCUGAUGCAGCUAUGCCGCGUGUAUGAAGAAGGCCCUAGGUUUGUAAAGUACUUUCAGUCGGGAGGCGUUACCGACAGAAGAAGCACCGGCUAACUACGUGCCAGCAGCCGCGGUAAUUC